CAGUGUUCGCUGCCCUCACGGGUAGCAAACCUCACCCUUGUGUAUUAUAUCUUUGUUGCUUUGGCACGCCGCCUUCGGGCACUGGCUUCGGCUGGCUCGCGCGUGUCAGAGGACCCCAAACUCUGAAUGUUAGUGUCGUCUGAGUACUAUCUAAUAGUUAAAACUUUCAACAACGGAUCUCUUGGUUCUGGCAUCGAUGAAGAACGCAGCGAAAUGCGAUAAGUAAUGUGAAUUGCAGAAUUCAGUGAAUCAUCGAAUCUUUGAACGCACAUUGCGCCCGGUGGUAUUCCGCCGGGCAUGCCUGUUCGAGCGUCAUUUAAACCAAUCCAGCCUCGUGCUUGGGUCUUGGGCCUUUCGCCUCCGGGCGGGCCUCAAAAUCAGUGGCGGUGCCUCCUGGCUCUAAGCGUAGUAAUACUCCUCGCUAUAGACGUUCGGUGGUGUCCUGCCAGCAACCCCCCCAUUUUCAAAG
rnacentral:misc_RNA from 1 species